rnacentral:rRNA from 1 species
UACGAAGGGGGCUAGCGUUGCUCGGAAUUACUGGGCGUAAAGGGAGCGUAGGCGGGUUAUCAAGUUGGAGGUGAAAGCCCAGGGCUCAACCUUGGAAUUGCCUUCAAAACUGAUAGCCUAGAGUAUGAUAGAGGUAUGUGGAACUCCGAGUGUAGAGGUGAAAUUCGUAGAUAUUCGGAAGAACACCAGUGGCGAAGGCGACAUACUGGGUCAUGACUGACGCUGAGGCUCGAAAGCGUGGGGAGCAAACAGGG